rnacentral:rRNA from 1 species
GAUGAACGCUAGCUACAGGCUUAACACAUGCAAGUCUAGGGACCGGCGCACGGGUGAGUAACACGUAUCCAACCUUCCCUUUACUCGGUGAUAGCUUUUCGAAAGAAAGAUUAAUACCCGAUGUAAAGUAUGGGGAUGCGUUUCCUUAGGUUGUUGGUGAGGUAACGGCUCACCAAGCAUUCGAUGGAUAGGGGUGCUGAGUGGAAGGUCCCCCACAUUGGAACUGAGACACGGUCCAAACGCCUACGCGGGGCAGGAGUGAGGAAUAUUGGUCAAUGGGCGUUAGCCUGAACAAGCCAAGUAGCGUGAAGGAUGAAGGCUUAUGGGUCGUAAACUUCUUGUAAAGAAGAAUAUGUAUUAUAUGAAUAAGGAUCGGCUAACUCCGUGCCAGCAGCCGCGGUAAUUC